rnacentral:rRNA from 1 species
AGCAGCCGCGGUAAUUCCAGCUCCAAUAGCGUAUAUUAAAGUUGUUGCAGUUAAAAAGCUCGUAGUUGAAUUUCGGGGUCUGUCCAUUGGUCGGGCUUUACGGUCCGUACUGGUGUGAUGGGUUCCUACCUUCUGAAUAACCAGCAUGCCAUUUAGUUGGUGCGUUGGGGAAGCAGAGCUAUUACCUUGAAAAAAUUAGAGUGCUUAAAGCAGGCUAGUGCUUGAAUAGAUUAGCAUGGAAUAAUAAAAUAGGACGGCAUGGUUCUAUUUUGUUGGUUUCUAGGAUCACCGUAAUGAUUAAUAGGGAUAGUUGGGGGCAUUAGUAUUCAAUUGUCAGAGGUGAAAUUCUUGGAUUUAUUGAAGACUAACUUCUGCGAAAGCAUUUGCCAAGGAUGUUUUCAUUAAUCAAGAACGAAAGUUAGGGGAUCGAAGACGAUCAGAUACCGUCGU